ACACUUACCCGGCAGGGGAGACGCCGGGAUCAAGCAGGUGGUUUUCCCACGCGAGGCCAGUCCAUCGCACCGCGGACGUGCUGACCCCCGCGAUUUCCCCGAGUGUGGACAACUCGAUUGCAUAAUUUGUGGUAGUGGGGACUGCGUUCCCGCUCUCCCCU
ensembl:snRNA U1 U1 spliceosomal RNA